UCCAUGUAACCAGUCCCUGAUGCCCAAAAGGUUGGGGACCUCUGUCCUUGCAUAAGCAGGGCCUGCCUUGUCGUUAUCUCCUAUGAUGCCUAGAAUAACUGUAGGUUAUAAAGAAUCUUACUUUUCAUUUACUUUCAUCACUAGCAGCAUCUCUAACUUAUUUUAAUAAUUCCUUUUCAGCAUAAAAUUGGGGCUCUUUCUUACUCAGAUAUAAGCCAUCUACUUCAGUCAAAAUAAGUUUUACUACAAACACUUAAACUCUAUUCAAAAAUUAGGGUCUUUUGAAUUUCACUAAUAAACAAAACCCAGAAUAAAACUAGGGCCACAGAAAAACACAUUAAAAACUGUGAGGGAAAGGGGAAUAGGUGAAAAAUCCAAGAGGCAGGCUCCAUUUUUCCUCAGAAUGACUUCUAGGGACUUUAUUGAUAACAUUUUCCAAGCACAACCAUGAAAAACUCAUUGGCUGAUUAUUCUUCUCCUCUUUGCCUGCCUGGCUAGGCUAUUCUGUCCAUAUUCCCUUUCUAGAACAAUCCGCAGAGAUGCAUUUGCCUUUAAAAGACAGUGACUGAUCUGCUCCCUCUACAGCCAUGUUCCUUGUGACAAGGGAGAUCUGUGUACAAAAGAGGAAAGGAGGGGGAGGGAGCUGUAGUUCCUUCCUGCAACUAUCAAAACAGAGCACCGAUUUUAAGAGGAGAAGCAGAUCCAAACACACCAGCCCUUGUGCCUCAAUGAACAGGCCGGUUUUCAAUCCACAGGCACACAUCCUUCACAGGACAGCUGCUUUCUCUGGGAAAAGGGCAGAGGGCAUCGGAGGGCUCAGUUCCUCAAGGCUUGGGGGGAUGAUUUGCCUUUCUAAACAUGAGGAAACCCAAGGAAGAGGCUAUGCAACUGAGAGAUUAAACAAGAAAAUAAAUGCAAUUCAGCCGCCUUGCUGGCAGAGAGCUGCUUCCCUACCCAGGCAGAGCGUCGCUGGCUGAGAGAUGAUGAAAUAUUAAAUGGAGAUUAGCAGAACCGAGUCAUUUUCACCGCAUCAGCCCUGCAACUUGAAAAAAAUCCUACCAAAAUCCCCCACUGAUGUCAUAGCUGGAACAUGGCUUUGUGAUGGCUGAACAUUGGAUGUGUUCCCAAAGGAAGCUUUAUUACCACUCAAAGGACACUGCAUGAAAUCACCUUUUUUCAAGGUUACAUUUCAAAUGUUCAGAGUAAAAGAUAAUGCAUGCUAUUAUAAACUCUGAAUGGCUGCAAUUAAACUUUAGUUUCAAAGCCAAAAUGGAGAUGUCUGUAAUUCUAAUAAUCUAUUAUUAUGUAUCCUCUAUAAGUUAAAAAGCAUUGUGAGAGAACCUGCCUGAUUUUACUUUGCCCCAGACAUUGCUGAGAACCUUUUUAUAAUUUUACGUGCUUCAACCUUCCAGCACAUGAAGCUCCAGUCAAGGCAGCCAUUUGCAGUAUUUCAUAGUCACUUGCAAUAUUGUCAGAAUCCAAUUAUAUUUCAUCUUUAAUUAUCAAACAUAGAAACUCCCAAUUCUGCCUUCUCUGGAUUCUGCCAUAAGAGGGAGAAAAGGGGG